AUUGAACGCUGGCGGCAGGCCUAACACAUGCAAGUCGAACGAGUGGCGGACGGGUGAGUAAUGUCUGGGAAACUGCCCGAUGGAGGGGGAUAACUACUGGAAACGGUAGCUAAUACCGCAUACCCUCGGAUGUGCCCAGAUGGGAUUAGCUUGUAGGUGAGGUAACGGCUCACCUAGGCGACGAUCCCUAGCUGGUCUGAGAGGAUGACCAGACACACUGGAACGUGGACACGGUCCAGACUCCGACGGGAGGCAGAAGUGGGGAAUAUUGCACAAUGGGCGCAAGCCUGAUGCAGCCAGGCCGAGGGUAUGAAGAAGGCAUUCGGGUUGUAAAGUACUUGCAGCGGGGAGGCGGUAACCGCAUAAGAAUCACAGGCUAACUCCGUGCCAGCAGCCGCGGUAAUAC
rnacentral:rRNA from 1 species